GACGAGGGGUCCUAGCGUUGUUCGGAAUCAUUGGGCGUAAAGCGCGCGUAGGUGGCUUUGUAAGUCAGAUGUGAAAGCCCUGGGCUCAACCCAGGAAGUGCAUUUGAUACUGCUAAGCUUGAAUAUGGGAGAGGGUAGUAGAAUUCCUGGUGUAGUGGUGAAAUACGUAGAUAUCAGGAGGAAUACCGGUGGCGAAGGCGGCUACCUGGCCCAAUAUUGACGCUGAAGUGCGAAAGCGUGGGGAUCAAACAGG
rnacentral:rRNA from 1 species